UAUAAUGGGUCAGCGACUUAUAUUCUGUAGCAAGGUUAACCGAAUAGGGGAGCCGAAGGGAAACCGAGUCUUAACUGGGCGUUAAGUUGCAGGGUAUAGACCCGAAACCCGGUGAUCUAGCCAUGGGCAGGUUGAAGGUUGGGUAACACUAACUGGAGGACCGAACCGACUAAUGUUGAAAAAUUAGCGGAUGACUUGUGGCUGGGGGUGAAAGGCCAAUCAAACCGGGAGAUAGCUGGUUCUCCCCGAAAGCUAUUUAGGUAGCGCCUCGUGAAUUCAUCUCCGGGGGUAGAGCACUGUUUCGGCAAGGGGGUCAUCCCGACUUACCAACCCGAUGCAAACUGCGAAUACCGGAGAAUGUUAUCACGGGAGACACACGGCGGGUGCUAACGUCCGUCGUGAAGAGGGAAACAACCCAGACCGCCAGCUAAGGUCCCAAAGUCAUGGUUAAGUGGGAAACGAUGUGGGAAGGCCCAGACAGCCAGGAUGUUGGCUUAGAAGCAGCCAUCAUUUAAAGAAAGCGUAAUAGCUCACUGGUCGAGUCGGCCUGCGCGGAAGAUGUAACGGGGCUAAACCAUGCACCGAAGCUGCGGCAGCGACGCUUAUGCGUUGUUGGGUAGGGGAGCGUUCUGUAAGC
rnacentral:rRNA from 1 species